AUUGAACGCUGGCGGCAGGCCUAACACAUGCAAGUCGAGCGGAUGAAGGGAGCUUGCUCCUGGAUUCAGCGGCGGACGGGUGAGUAAUGCCUAGGAAUCUGCCUGGUAGUGGGGGAUAACGUCCGGAAACGGGCGCUAAUACCGCAUACGUCCUGAGGGAGAAAGUGGGGGAUCUUCGGACCUCACGCUAUCAGAUGAGCCUAGGUCGGAUUAGCUAGUUGGUGGGGUAAAGGCCUACCAAGGCGACGAUCCGUAACUGGUCUGAGAGGAUGAUCAGUCACACUGGAACUGGGACACGGUCCAGACUCCUACGGGAGGCAGCAGUGGGGAAUAUUGGACAAUGGGCGAAAGCCUGAUCCAGCCAUGCCGCGUGCGUGAAGAAGGUCUUCGGAUUGUAAAGCACUUUAAGUUGGGAGGAAGGGCAGUAAGUUAAUACCUUGCUGUUUUGACGUUACCAACAGAAUAAGCACCGGCUAACUUCGUG
rnacentral:rRNA from 1 species